AUUGAACGCUGGCGGCAUGCUUUACACAUGCAAGUCGAACGGCAGCGCGGGCUUCGGCCUGGCGGCGAGUGGCGAAUGGGUGAGUAAUGCAUCGGAACGUGCCCAGUAAUGGGGGAUAGCCCGGCGAAAGCCGGAUUAAUACCGCAUACGACCUGAGGGUGAAAGCGGGGGACCGAAAGGCCUCGCGCUAUUGGAGCGGCCGAUGUCGGAUUAGCUAGUUGGUGGGGUAAAGGCUUACCAAGGCGACGAUCCGUAGCUGGUCUGAGAGGACGACCAGCCACACUGGGACUGAGACACGGCCCAGACUCCUACGGGAGGCAGCGGUGGGGAAUUUUGGACAAAGGGGGCAACCCUGAUCCAGCCAUGCCGCGUGCGGGAAGAAGGCCUUCGGGUUGUAAACCGCUUUUGUUCGGGAAGAAAUCCUCUGGGCUAAUACCCCGGGGGGAUGACGGUACCGGAAGAAUAAGCACCGGCUAACUACGUG
rnacentral:rRNA from 1 species